AUUGAACGCUGGCGGCAUGCCUUACACAUGCAAGUCGAACGGCAGCGGACCUUCGGGUGCCGGCGAGUGGCGAACGGGUGAGUAAUAUAUCGGAACGUACCUUUCAGUGGGGGAUAACGUAGCGAAAGUUACGCUAAUACCGCAUAUUCUGUGAGCAGGAAAGCAGGGGAUCGCAAGACCUUGCGCUGAUUGAGUGGCCGAUAUCAGAUUAGCUAGUUGGUGAGGUAAAGGCUCACCAAGGCGACGAUCUGUAGCGGGUCUGAGAGGAUGAUCCGCCACACUGGAACUGAGACACGGUCCAGACUCCUACGGGAGGCAGCAGUGGGGAAUUUUGGACAAUGGGCGCAAGCCUGAUCCAGCCAUGCCGCGUGAGUGAAGAAGGCC
rnacentral:rRNA from 1 species